UGAACGCUAGCGACAGGCUAACACAUGCAAGUCGAGGGGCAGACAUAAAAGUAGCAAUACUUGGUGGCGACCGGCGCACGGGUGAGUAACGCGUAUGCAGCCUACCUAUCAGAGGGGAAUAACCCGGCGAAAGUCGGACUAAUACCGCAUAAAACAGGGGCACCGCAUGGUGAUAUUUGUUAAAGAAAUUCGCUGAUAGAUGGGCAUGCGUUCCAUUAGGUAGUUGGUGAGGUAACGGCUCACCAAGCCGACGAUGGAUAGGGGAACUGAGAGGUUGGUCCCCCACACUGGUACUGAGACACGGACCAGACUCCUACGGGAGGCAGCAGUGAGGAAUAUUGGUCAAUGGGCGAGAGCCUGAACCAGCCAAGUCGCGUGAAGGAAGAAGGAUCUAUGGUUCGUAAACUUCUUUUGCAGGGGAAUAAAGUGCAGGACGUGUCCUGUUUUGUAUGUACCCUGAGAAUAAGGAUCGGCUAACUCCGUGCCAGCCGCCGC
rnacentral:rRNA from 1 species